rnacentral:lncRNA from 1 species
GCAACAUAAUAAAUCACAAUUAAUUCCCAGGGAUUCCUGGCUCCUCAGCAUUGUGUGCUUGAGCGUGCCCUCUGCCAAGAGGAAAAUGUGUCUAGGAUUGAAGCCGUGCAGCUCUGUACUGAACUGUGCUCUUUGUUUACAAGCUCUUUUGGUUUCACCACCCUUUAAGCAAGAUCUCAUGUCUUGUUUUCUUUCUAUUACAUCAGUAUUAAUUUGUUGGAAAGCUGAAUGAAGAUCUUUGAUUCAAAGUACAUCAAGUUGGAGAGAUGAGCAAGAGAGUUGAUUCAAUCAGAGCUGAGAUUUUCUAGGUGAGAACAAAGAAUGAAACAGAGGUCACGGACUUGAAGGUAUAUGCAAACCAGUGAUUAUAAAGAGGUGAAAUGCCAAAGUUAUGUUAAAAUGGACAUGGGUAAAGUUGAUAGUAGAAGGCAAACAUUGCAGAAAGAUUGAAAUAAAAUAUGAAGUUUGGGAAAAAGUUAUGCUUGU